rnacentral:rRNA from 3 species
CCGUGAUGAACUAACCGUCUGUCGCUGGGGAAAAGAAACGAGAAUAAAACUUUGAUAUAUGUAUGUGGGGUUUUUUUAAUUUUGUUAUUUUAGUAUUUAAAUUAUUAAUUUAAUUUUUUCCUAGUCCCUUAUCCAAAAGAUGAGGAGCAGUAGGUAGGUAGUUUUUAUUUAUAUAUUUUUAUUUAAGUAUAAAAAAUAAUAAUUUUUGCAUUUGGAAACACUUAUUAGAUAUAUUAGUAUCUGUUACCCAUUUAAGUAACAUCUCAAAAGUCAUAGCAAGGUAGCUUGUACUGGAA